UACGGGGGGGGCAAGCGUUGUUCGGAAUUACUGGGCGUAAAGGGCUCGUAGGCGGCCAACUAAGUCGGACGUGAAAUCCCCAGGCUCAACCUGGGAACUGCGUCCGAUACUGGAUGGCUUGAAUUCGGGAGAGGGAUGCAGAAUUCCAGGUGUAGCGGUGAAAUGCGCAGAUAUCGGGAGGAACACCAAUGGCGAAGGCAGCUCGCUGGGACGUUACUGACGCUGAGACGCGAAAGCGUGGGGAGCAAACAGGG
rnacentral:rRNA from 1 species